AUUGAACGCUGGCGGCAGGCCUAACACAUGCAAGUCGAGCGGAUGAAGGGAGCUUGCUCCUGGAUUCAGCGGCGGACGGGUGAGUAAUGCCUAGGAAUCUGCCUGGUAGUGGGGGAUAACGUCCGGAAACGGGCGCUAAUACCGCAUACGUCCUGAGGGAGAAAGUGGGGGAUCUUCGGACCUCACGCUAUCAGAUGAGCCUAGGUCGGAUUAGCUAGUUGGUGGGGUAAAGGCCUACCAAGGCGACGAUCCGUAACUGGUCUGAGAGGAUGAUCAGUCACACUGGAACUGAGACACGGUCCAGACUCCUACGGGAGGCAGCAGUGCGGAAUAUUGGACAAUGGGCGAAAGCCUGAUCCAGCCAUGCCGCGUGUGUGAAGAAGGUCUUCGGAUUGUAAAGCACUUUAAGUUGGGAGGAAGGGCAGUAAGUUAAUACCUUGCUGUUUUGACGUUACCAACAGAAUAAGCACCGGCUAACUUCGUG
rnacentral:rRNA from 1 species